AUCUGAAAGUCCGUUCUGUAAAGCUCGGGUUAGCCAGACUAUAGAGUUAUAUUCUGGCUGCAGAAUAACUGACUGGUGUGGCUUUGCAAAGGGGGGGUCAAAAAGAAAAAAAAAAGGAGAGGGAGUGCGGGAGUCGUCCAGUGCAAUCUCUAUUGUUUGAAACUUACUUUUUAAUCAGAAUUUGAAGAUGAAAACGGUUAAAAAAUGGCCAUACUUUAGUGACCUAUCAGCCUGAUGCUUUGCUUAUGAAAAGUCUUAUCAUCAUUAUUCUCUUCAUUUUUGGAUUGAGAAAAUGAAUCCAGACGUAGAAGAAAGUGCGGGAUGCUGGAAAAAAGUACCUGUUAAACAGCGGAGUAUCUAAUUUGCAAGACGUUUUAAGGAAUUAAAAUUGUUAUGCUUCGAUUUUGGUAUGGUAUUGACUCUCUAGCACAUAGGUAGCCUUCCAAAAAUAUCAUUCAGUUUUCCAAAUUAUGGAAAUUUCGUGGAAAACGUUGACAUGGAUUUUGAGCCUCAUCAUGGCUUCAUCGGAAUUUUAUAGUGACCACAGACUUUCAUACAGUUCUCAAGAGGAAUUCCUGACUUAUCUUGAACACUACCAGCUAACUAUUCCAAUAAGGGUUGAUCAAAAUGGAGCUUUUCUGAGCUUUACUGUGAAAAAUGAUAAACACUCAAGGAGAAGACGGAGUAUGGACCCUAUUGACCCACAGCAGGCAGUGUCUAUGUUGUUUUUUAAACUUUCAGCCUAUGGCAAGCACUUUCACCUAAACUUGACUCUCAAUACAAAUUUUGUGUCCAAACAUUUUACAGUAGAAUAUUGGGGGAAAGAUGGACCCCAGUGGAAACAUGAUUUUUUAGACAACUGUCAUUACACAGGAUACUUGCAAGAUCAACGUAGUACAACUAAAGUGGCUUUAAGCAACUGUGUUGGAUUGCAUGGUAUUAUUGCUACAGAAGAUGAAGAAUAUUUUAUUGAGCCUUUAAAGAAUACCACAGAGGAUUCUAAGCAUUUUAGUUAUGAAAAUGGCCAUCCUCAUGUUAUUUACAAAAAAUCUACCCUCCAACAGCGUCAUCUCUAUGAUCACUCUCAUUGUGGGGUUUCAGACCUCACAAGAAGUGGCAAACCUUGGUGGCUGAAUGAAACAUCCUCUGCUUUUCCUUCUUUACUACCAAUUAAUGACACACAUGUCCAUCAUAGACAGAAAAGAUCAGUGAGCAUCGAGCGAUUUGUGGAGACACUAGUAGUAGCAGACAAAAUGAUGGUGGGCUACCACGGCCGCAAAGACAUUGAGCACUAUAUUUUGAGUGUGAUGAAUAUUGUUGCCAAACUUUACCGUGAUUCCAGCCUAGGAAACGUUGUGAAUAUUAUAGUGGCUCGCUUAAUUGUUCUCACAGAAGAUCAGCCAAACUUGGAGAUAAACCACCAUGCAGACAAGUCCCUCGAUAGCUUCUGUAAGUGGCAGAAAUCCAUUCUCUCCCACCAAAGUGAUGGAAACACCAUUCCAGAAAAUGGGAUUGCCCACCACGAUAAUGCAGUUCUUAUUACUAGAUAUGAUAUCUGCACUUAUAAAAAUAAGCCCUGUGGAACUUUGGGCUUAGCCUCUGUGGCUGGAAUGUGUGAGCCUGAAAGGAGCUGCAGCAUUAAUGAAGACAUUGGCCUGGGUUCAGCUUUUACCAUUGCACAUGAGAUUGGUCACAAUUUUGGUAUGAACCAUGAUGGAAUUGGAAAUUCUUGUGGGACAAAAGGUCAUGAAGCAGCAAAACUUAUGGCAGCUCAUAUUACUGCAAAUACCAAUCCUUUUUCCUGGUCUGCCUGCAGUCGAGACUAUAUCACCAGCUUUCUAGAUUCAGGCCGUGGUACUUGCCUUGAUAAUGAGCCUCCCAAGCGUGACUUUCUUUACCCAGCUGUGGCCCCAGGUCAGGUGUAUGAUGCUGAUGAGCAAUGCCGUUUCCAGUAUGGAGCAACAUCCCGCCAGUGUAAAUACGGGGAAGUGUGUAGAGAGCUCUGGUGUCUCAGCAAAAGCAACCGCUGUGUCACCAACAGUAUUCCAGCAGCCGAGGGGACACUGUGUCAGACCGGGAAUAUUGAUAAGGGGUGGUGUUAUCAGGGAGAUUGUGUUCCUUUUGGCACUUGGCCCCAGAGCAUAGAUGGGGGCUGGGGUUCCUGGUCACUAUGGGGAGAGUGCAGCAGGACCUGCGGGGGCGGCGUCUCCUCAUCCCUAAGACACUGUGACAGUCCAGCACCUUCAGGAGGUGGAAAAUAUUGCCUUGGGGAAAGGAAACGAUAUCGCUCCUGCAACACAGAUCCAUGCUCUUUGGGUUCCCGAGAUUUUCGAGAAAAACAGUGUGCAGACUUUGACAAUAUGCCUUUCCGGGGAAAGUAUUAUAACUGGAAACCCUAUACUGGAGGUGGGGUAAAACCUUGUGCAUUAAACUGCCUGGCCGAAGGUUACAAUUUCUAUACUGAACGAGCCCCUGCAGUAAUAGAUGGGACCCAGUGCAAUGUGGACUCACUGGAUAUCUGUAUCAACGGAGAGUGCAAGCAUGUAGGUUGUGAUAAUAUUUUGGGAUCUGACGCUAGAGAAGAUAGGUGCCGAGUCUGUGGAGGGGAUGGAAGCACCUGUGAUGCCAUUGAAGGAUUCUUCAACGACUCAUUGCCCAGAGGAGGCUACAUGGAAGUGGUGCGGAUACCAAGAGGCUCUGUUCAUAUUGAAGUAAGAGAAGUUGCCAUGUCAAAGAACUAUAUUGCUUUAAAAUCUGAAGGGGAUGAUUACUAUAUUAAUGGUGCCUGGACUAUUGACUGGCCUAGGAAAUUUGAUGUUGCUGGGACAGCUUUUCACUACAAGAGACCAACAGAUGAACCAGAAUCCUUGGAAGCCUUAGGCCCCACCUCUGAAAACCUCAUUGUAAUGGUUCUACUCCAAGAACAGAAUUUGGGAAUUAGGUACAAGUUCAAUGUUCCCAUCACUCGCACUGGCAGUGGAGAUAAUGAAGUUGGCUUUAUGUGGAAUCAUCAGCCUUGGUCAGAGUGCUCAGCUACUUGUGCUGGAGGUAUCCAAAGACAAGAGGUGGUCUGUAAAAGAUUGGAUGACAACUCCAUUGUCCAGAACAAUUUCUGUGAUCCUGACAGUAAGCCACCUGAAAAUCAAAGAGCCUGCAACACUGAGCCCUGCCCACCUGAAUGGUUCAUUGGAGAUUGGUUGGAGUGCAGUAAGACUUGUGAUGGUGGAAUGCGCACAAGGGCAGUGCUCUGCAUCAGGAAGAUUGGACCAUCUGAGGAGGAGACUCUGGAUUACACUGGUUGUUUAACACACCGGCCUAUUGAGAAAGAGUCCUGCAACAACCAGUCAUGUCCACCACAGUGGGUGGCUUUGGACUGGUCUGAAUGUACUCCAAAGUGUGGUCCAGGAUUCAAGCAUCGGAUUGUUCUGUGCAAGAGCAGUGACCUUUCGAAAACAUUCCCAGCUGCACAGUGUCCAGAGGAGAGCAAACCUCCAGCUCGCAUCCGCUGCAGUCUGGGUCGCUGCCCUCCUCCUCGCUGGGUGACAGGAGACUGGGGCCAGUGCUCUGCUCAGUGUGGCCUUGGACAGCAAAUGCGAACUGUGCAGUGUCUCUCCUAUACUGGCCAGGCAUCUGUUGACUGUCCAGAAACUGUCCGGCCUCCAUCAAUGCAACAGUGUGAAAGUAAAUGUGACAGUAGUCCCAUCUCCAGUACCGAAGACAUCGAUACUCUGCAAGGAAUACAGCAAAGUCCCUGUCCACAACGGGAGCAUAGCUUAGUAGGUGUAACAAUAUGUAAACAAAUAAUUUUCACACUAUAAGCAGGAUUUUAAUAGAGGUAAAAAGAAGCUACUUGAGUGCACCGGGAUGUGUGGAAUGAACAGAAGCAUCCCUGAGACAGUGAGCUGGAGCUGGGCUCUCGAGGGUUCAGCAGUUCACCAAGGAGCCAAUACAACAUGGAGCGUUCCUGGCAGAGACAAAGUGCAAAGAUGUGAACAAAGUGGCUUAUUGCCCACUGGUGCUCAAGUUCAAGUUCUGUAGUCGAGCAUACUUUAGACAGAUGUGUUGUAAGACCUGCCAAGGACACUGACCCAUGGAAAGCCAGAGAGAAUCUUGUCGUUUCAUCGUGGAAAUGCAUCCAUCACAGAGAGCCACCCAGAGGAAGAGGACUGAUGUCCUUACAAAAGCAUUACCCUGUGGAAAACGUAACCACUGGUCAGCCCUAGCUGACAGGAUUUCAAUAUUAUUUUAACUUCUGUGAAGUGGGAUUUAUUGAUCCAAAGUGCUGGACACGGUAUUAGGAGGGAAUGCCAGAUUGGAGAGAUCCAAACAACACAGGGAGACUUGCUUACUGUGGAACGUUUGUGUUCUUUCGAGUAAAUCCGAUAGCCUGUUUACCUCCUUGGACCAUUAAGAUAAUUUUUAUUAUGGACUUAGCAAUGACACUGAAUCCAUUUGUAUUUAAGACUGUUUAAAAUGUAGUUAUUUUGACUUGGUCAACUAUGGAAGUAAAGGAGAUUCAGAAUUCUUAAGUCAUAGCUUUAAAAUGUUUACUAUACUUUAUCUCAUUACACCAACAGCACCACAAUUUAAAUUAUAAAAUGGGCUUUGAACUCUAAUUUAAGGAACAAUUAUAAAUCAAAAGUAGUGAAAGUUUGUAUUAUUUUUCUUUAUUCCACUUAAUUUCCUUAGGAAUAAUUCCCUUUUCUGAACACUGCUGUGAGCCAUAUAUAAAACUAUAUUAAACUGAACAAUGAGGGACUUAGUUUAAAGCAGUGCAUCAGUUGCUGCAGCUGUGCAAGUCUAUAAAGUCAGUGCUAAGAGACUGUGGCCAACUUGCCAUUGUGCAAGUGAAGCUGAGAUUUCCAUUAAAACUUUAAGAGAAAAACAUUUCAAUCUCAUGCAGAAGCCAGACCUGGGGUAUGGCAGAGACUGAAGUCCCAGGCCCUUUGCAGCCAUCUCAUUGAGAGCCUGACUGCUUAUGUGAGUCACCCAGGCUCCUUUGUGUUUACAUCCCCACCAGCCACAGAUCAGCUUCUGCCCUGUUGGAUUGUUCAAGCAUGUUGAGCUUAUGGAGAUGGUGCCAUGCAAAAGAUAGGCAGGCACAGUAACAGCCGGGAGGGCCCUUUUGCGAUUUGCUGACAGUACGAUGGGUUCCAGAUGUCCCUUCUUUGAUAUGGUAGAAGGGCAUUUAUUUAUAUGAGAGCAAGUGUGUGCGUGUGUAUAUGUGUAUAUCCAGGCGCUCUCAAGUGUGUGGAUAGAGGAGUAUGCUUGCACAUAAAUGUGCUAUUUCUGUGAGUUUUAAAGUAGGCAAGGACAACAACCAAAGAAGAAAAGCUCAUGAAGACUAGAAUUCAUAAAGUAUAAUUUUAAUAGUCACUCAACCAAGUAUUUUGUAUUUUUUAUGGAUAUUUUGAAUGACAAUUAAAUGUGAAACCCAAUUUCUUGGGCAAGUCCAAUUCUAAAAUUCCAUUUUCUGAAAUUAAAGUGACUAGCUUAAGGUCUUCCCAUCGUCAAGCUUCACAUCUUGCCAUCAAAAGACUCAACAGCUAGGUUUUUAAAGGGUACUUGUUUAUAUUAAUACUUUGUACUUGAACACUUGUAGCUUGUAGCAGGUUCUUGGUGAACAUGCUUGGUGCUUUGUUCAUGCAUGUGCCCCAUGCAGACACUACCACCUAAAAUGCAAUACUACAUGGCUACAUUUUAAAUAGUGUUUUCAGUUAAGAGCAUGUCUCACUUUCGUCCAUCACUGUGCUCUGAAGCUAUACAUCGGUGUGUUGCUUAUGGUAACCUAAGAAGAAUUCAGACACCAAAAACCUCCUAACCUUUCUGCUUACUGUGGACAGCUGGCCAGAAGUUUUCCCACACACUCUCUCAUGACCAGCCACAUCUCAUUCCUUGCUUCUCUUUCAAUACCAUAGUUUCCAUCCCUGGGUUUUCCAGAAAAAUCUAUUGAUGCUACAAGAAAUACUGCCAAGAACUCCAUCUACUGCCCUUAGAAAGCCCACCCAAGUGCCAUUGUAGCCAUUCCAUGAAGAGGAGGCAGCCCAUGGAUGCGUGGCCUAGACUUGAAUCCCCUUAGUCCUUUUCAAAGGACGGUUAACUUGGUGCUAAUGUGCCCUGGUAAAACACAUAGACUGGGUGGUUUCUGAGGCAUAGGUUUGCUCUCCACAUCUGACUUUUACCAACAUAAAUAUCAGCUCGUGUUUUUAUUUCAAGAUUUCUUACAGUACUGGUAAAUAAAUGGCUGUAUUUUACCUCACCUGAAGCUAACAUCACAAGGACUGUCCCCCAGGAACUGUGCAGUACCUGUUUCUGCUGGUGCUAGAGGAAGAAGGCAGCCUGCAUUCCCUCCAGGAAGUGCACCAGCACUGAGUGCAGGAUACUCCAGUCAGCACAGAUUGCUUUGCAAGAGGGUGCUUCCGGGUAGGCCCUGAGUUUAAACCUGAGCAAGUUAAACAAAACAAAAACAAAAGAGGGAAACUCUUUACAUUACAAACUCACAUUACAAUACUGCUGUCACUGUAACCACCCAUGUGGCUGCAUGAAUCUGUAUUCUACAUGGUAAAAGUAGAAUUAUCAGCAGAGGCUGGGCCACCCUGGCAGACACUCCAAAUGUUGUGAGCUAUAUUGACUACUUAGGGUAUGAAGGUAUCCAUGGCUGGGAGCAGUAUCUGCCACUGGUAUGAAGGCCUACCAAAAAAUGAAAGGUAAAUAUAUUCAAAUGAUUGAACCCCUAAAGACACAUAUGACUUCCAAACAGUCCAUUUCAUUGGGAACUUCUGUAUUUGAGUGAAUGUCACAUAGGUAUCCUUAAUAAUACAGAACAAAAUUACCUUUGUAUUAUUGUGAUUACUUGUUGCUUAUUAUUUUAUACUCAGUAUUAAUGUGGUACACUGUUACUUUUUUUGCUUUUGUAAAUUAUAUUCUAAUUUAUUGCCAUGUUUCCUAACACUUGUCCUACAUUCAUUCUCCUGCUUAUAAUGAAAAUGAAAAAGUCAUUGUAACACUUGAUGGAGUGAAAUUUCAUACCAGGCACAGAUUUUUUUUUAACAUAGAUAAUUCAGUAAAAAAUAAAAUUUCAGCUUGUAAGAAUGA